CCAAAAUGACAACUUUACCCCUCGAUUAUGCCACGUGAACAUGUCUCAAAAUCAACUUGUUUUUCUGCAACUCUUAACGUUGAUCCUUUACAUAAAGCCCAGGGAGCUGCAACUCUGUCUAGUCUACCUAGCUACCAUGGAACUCAGCAACUGGUGCAAUUCAGGCACUGCUACCACUAACAUGGAUGCCUACGUGAAUGAUCGGUAUGAUCCAAUCUUGUCGUCUGUGUUGGAGAGCAGUACUGCAUCAAAGAGGCCAAGAUGGAGAUUGUUGUGGAGG
rnacentral:misc_RNA from 1 species